rnacentral:rRNA from 1 species
GAUGAACGCUGGCGGCGUGCCUAAUACAUGCAAGUCGAACGGGAGCCUCGAUUUCGGUUGAGGUGAGAGUGGCGAACGGGUGAGUAACACAUAGCUGACCUGCCCUUCAGAGGGGGACAACCGCUGGAAACGGUGGCUAAUACCCCAUACGCUUGCUCGGGUUAGAGGCCGGGUGAGGAAAGGCUUUGGUGCUGAGGGAGGGGGCUGUGGCCCAUCAGCUAGUUGGUAGGGUAACGGCCUACCAAAGCGAGGACGGGUAGGGGACCUGAGAGGGUGACCCCCCACACGGGCACUGAGAGACGGGCCCGACUCCUACGGGAGGCAGCAGUAAGGGAUAUUGCGCCAAUGGGCGAAAGCCUGACGCAGCAACGCCGCGUGCGGGAAGAAGGCCUUCGGGUUGUAAACCGCUUUUCUAGGGGAAGAGGGAGGACGGUACCCUGGGAAUAAGUCUCGGCUAACUACGUG